CCUUCGUACGCGUCUGGUUUCUCAGAAUGUGUUGUAUGAGAUGGGGGGAUUGCGAAGCAGCAGUGGGACAUUUUCCCGGAAUGGGCUGUAGCGGAUCCUAGAGUAGGAGCGAGUCUUCUCACAGAAUCGAGACAAUCAAGAUGGCAUCGAAAGGCAGCCCUGCCGCGUCCUCGCUGUGUGCUGGAUAGAAGAAGAAACUGCGGUUGCGGACCAAAUUUCGUGUUACAGCGUUGAAGACGACGAAUGCGUUGGGGGAACCAGGACGAGCCGUAACACGCGGGCGAGCAGUAUCUGCUCGAAAUGGAGGACACGAGUUGCAGUGCAGGACACCGACUUUUACUUGGUGUGUGUGAGUGUGUGCCUGUGUUAACAUCAACCAAGGAACUGCUCUGACACUAUUCGUGAGAAAAGAACGAGGCGCACUGCAAAGCAGCUAGCAAGAAGGUGUGCAGAAAAAGGAAAACCAGGUGCUGAACUGUCAGCUGGACACCUCGGAGAACACAAUCAGUGCAGCCGGGAUUGUAAACACAUUGCAGAGCUCUCCUGUCUAAAGUUCAGCGAAGGCGCAGGAGGUCAUUUCGUGUGACAAAGUCUGGGUGAAGCAGAUUCCGGACGUGAUUAACCAGAUGAGGCUUAGUUAAGGAUCCUGACCAUUUCACUCAGAUUUAGUCCAAACAAGAGCUCCUAAUUGUAUACCCCAGGAGCAACAAGAGAGGUCAUGCCUGAACGUGCACCUCAGAACCAGAAAGCAGUUUCAGCAGGGUGGCACAGGACAAGAUGCUGAGGACACAGUGACCACCCUGCAACUGAAGUCUUGCCUGUGUCCCAUGUGAUGAACAGUUGUCUACCCAUAGUUUUCAACAUUACAUACUUUGGGCCGGUGGAACAGCUCAGCUCUUAUGUACAGGUAUCUGCACAGUUAACCAAUCUCCCGCUUCCGUGGCUUUGCCCCAAUAAGCUCC